rnacentral:rRNA from 1 species
UAAACUAGGAUUAGAUACCCUAUUAUUGGAAAUGUAAAUUUUUUAUACCUGACUACUAGUAGCUAUGUUCUUGAAAUUUAAAGGAUUUGGCGGUAUUGUAGUCUAUUCAGAGGAACCUGUCCUGUAAUUGAUGAUCCACGUUUAAUUGAACUUGUUUUACAGGUUUGUAUAUCGUCGUAGUUUGAAUGUUUUAUGAGAAAAUGGAAUGUUCAUGAUUUUAGAUGUUUAAAGGAUAUCAGAUCAAGAUACAGCGUAUAGACAAGGAGAGAUGGGUUACAAUAAAUUUAUUUAUAUGGUAAAAUAAGCUAACACUAUUUUUAAACUGGAUUUGAUAGUAAUAAGAUUAAUUUUAAUCUUAUGAUUGAAGCUCUAUAAUAUGCACAUAUCGCCCGUCGCUCCCACUUUAAAGUGGGAUAAGUCGUAACAAAGUAGGUGUACUGGAAAGUGUACCUAGAACGGCAAGUUAGAGCUUGCUACAAAGCAUUUUAUUUACAUUAAAAAGUUAACUGUGAAAAUCAGUUUAAUUUGAAAUUAUACGCUUAUUUUAGGGUUUGAUAAAUAAAAUAUUAUUUUAGUUAGUAAUUUUUAGAACAUUGUGAUACAAUUAUAGUAAACUAGUAUAGUGAUAGGGUGUUGAAAUAUUACUUGAUAUACUUAAUUUGUAACAAGAAGAUUUUAUUUAUUGUACCUUGUGUAUCAGGGUUUAUUAAAAUAGGCUUAUUAUAUGGUUUUCUCGAAUUAGGAAGAGCUAAUAUCGUAUAUAUUUAAUUGUUGCAUAAAUUUUUAUAAUACGAUAUUUGUAAUGAAACGUUAUUCGUUUUCUAAGAUAUCUAGUUUCCAAAGAAAUAAAUUUAAUUUAGUUUGUUGGUUUAAUAGGUUUGUCUAGCUAGUUUCUAUUAACCAAUAAGGAAAUACUAUAAGGGAUAAGCUUUAUAGUAGAUAACUAUAGUAUAUUUAGUAUAGAAAAAUUGGUAGGAUGGAAGUGUCUAUUAUUAGGGUGUUAUAACUAAUUUUUUGUUGAAUAAGAUUUUUAUUAUACUUAGAUUAUUUAUUUGGAUGAUGUACGUAAUAUUUACGUGCAUGUAAUAAUGGUAGAAUUAGUAUAUUUGUAUGUAUUAUUAAGUUUUGGUGUUAGGUUAAGUUAAGGAACUCGGCAAAUUAACUUUUCGCCUGUUUAUUAAAAACAUGUCUUUUUGAUUAUAAUUUAAAGUCUGACCUGCCCAAUGAGGAUUUGAAUGGCCGCGGUAAUUUGACCGUGCAAAGGUAGCAUAAUCAUUAGUUUUUUAAUUGAAAGCUGGAAUGAACGGUUGGACGAGAAAGUGACUGUCUCAAUUUUAUUGAUACUAGAAUUUUAUCUUUGAGUUAGAAAGCUCAAAUUUUUUUGAAAGACGAGAAGACCCUAUAGAAUUUUAUAUUUGUGUGUGUAAAGGAUUUAUGGUAUCUUUAUUUUUUUAUGCAUCUAAAUAUUUUGUUGGGGCGACAGAAAAAUUGGUUUAACUUUUUUUAUGUAUUAAAACAUGGGUUUAUGAUUUUUUGAUCCAUUUAAGUAUGAUUAUAAGAUUUAAUUACCUUAGGGAUAACAGCGUAAUUUUUUUUGAGAGUUCUUAUCGAAAGAAGAGUUUGCGACCUCGAUGUUGGAUUAAAAUUAACUUUUGGUGUAGAAGCUAAAUGGUUAGGUCUGUUCGACCUUUAAAAUUUUACAUGAUCUGAGUUCAAACCGGAGA